AGCUUUGCCUGCUCUUUGUUGUCCAGUGUUUUAUUCAUAUUACAUGCAUUAUGUGAUUUUUUUUACAUUGAAAUAUCUACAGAGAAUCACGUUCCCAUUUACUUCAUAUAUGAAUUUGACAAUAUUCAACUCUCAUCAUAAUUCUAAGCUCUCCUUUGCAAUUUACCAUUGAUUACAGACAGUUGCUGGAUUAGCAGCAGAUGGGAGGCAGGUUGUUGCAUGAGCAAAGUUUGAAGCAACAAAUUAUGAAAGGUUUACAUUAUGAAUGAUGAAAAAACUAUCAAGUCAAAAGAAAAUAUGUAGACAAUAGAUAUUUAUUCUCUAUUUUGGUUUUCCUCUUAGGAAUUUAUGGAUGAAAUUUUUUAAUAGUUCUUCUAAUUCUGAUAUGAAUUGUUACUUUUUUAAUGAGAUCUUACUAUGCUUAUGUCUAAUUGGUAGUGGUAAUGUAAUGUAGGUAUUUAUGUCUAAUUGGUAGUGCUAAUGUAAUGUAGAUCUUCUAAUUCUGGUCGAUGUUGGGUUCGGUCUGGUCUGCUCUGUUGUGUUUAUGUCUUUCUUCUACUCAUCUCUCUCUGCCUUCUCGUUGCCAUGUCUGCAGAGCUUAAACUCUCCCAAUCGAACCGUAUCUUUCGCCCUAAUGAACCACUUGAAGGCAAAAUCAUCACAAAGCUUCCAUCUUCAAUCUCCCACAACGGGAUUCGCCUCACUGUCAAUGGAUCAGUCACCUUACAGGUCCGUGGUGGAUCAGCUGGAGUGAUCGAGUCUUUAUAUGGUGUUCUCAAGCCUAUCCCAAUUGUGUAAGCCAUCUCCAUUUCUCCCUUUUUUAAUAUCAUUAACAUUAGGAUAAAUACGAGUAAUUUUUAAGUGGAAUUAACAGUUAAAAGAGCAAAGAAAGAUGAAUUCUUUUAGUUAUGAACAUAGGGAAGAAAUUCAAAAGCAUGAAUUUUUCAAUUGAUUGAUUUUAUUAACACUAUGCCUCAAUAUAGGGAAUUAAUAAAAGAAAAGAAUUAUAAUUUUAGA